UGGGCCCUUGCGGAAGAGAGCGGUAGAGUAGCAUCCACCCACAAGAUGAGUCUCUAACUGUUGGGUCUGCAACGGACACUGAGUGGCAGGCUGUGAGAGCUCCCGGUCCCAGCCUCCAGAUGCCCUUCGGAAUGAGCCUCCCCUUGUUCAUUUUCACAGAUAAGAGAAUCGAAGCUACGACAAGUAGAUGAAGGGGUCAGCAAGGGAAGGAGGCUCCAGAGACCCACGAGCUACUGGAUUGCACUCAGAGACAUCUCGAACUCGCGUUUAACCUUCCGCGGACACAGAUGGCUCCACAGAGAAACGUGUAUGGACGCGUGUGCAGUUGGGUCACCAUAUGCACUUAUGUCUCCUUGCCGUGGCCAUUAAGAGGGCCGGAGGGACUCGGGCAACGAGAACACCAAGCACCCAGAUACCCCACUCUGAAGGAGGGAGCAGAACUCCUUGCUCCUGAAGUGCGCGCUGUGCGUGGAGAUUCCUUCCAGGCAGGACAGUCAGAAAAGGGGGAAAAGGAGAAACUUCGCAGUGGAGAAACUGACAAAAGGCUACUGGCUGGGAAAAGCAUCAGACAAAUUCCCCUGGAGAAGCAGACUGCAAUACACCUGACCGGUACUCCUCAAAAUCCCAGACAAGGAAAGUCGGAGAUCGUCAGGGCCAAGACUACUGAACCUAGAGACAUGAUAACUGCACACAGUGAGGUUCCCUGGAAGAGGUCCUGGAACAGAAAAAGGAGAUCCGGGCAAAGAAGAAAACCGGAAAGGAGUGUAUAAACUUUAGUUGACAACAAUGUAUCAAAAAUUAAAAA